CCUACGGGAGGCUGCAGUGAGGAAUAUUGGUCAAUGGGCGCGAGCCUGAACCAGCCAAGUAGCGUGAAGGAUGACUGCCCUACGGGUUGUAAACUUCUUUUAUAAAGGAAUAAAGUGAGGCACGUGUGCCUUUUUGUAUGUACUUUAUGAAUAAGGAUCGGCUAACUCCGUGCCAGCAGCCGCGGUAAUACGGAGGGUCCGAGCGUUAUCCGGAUUUAUUUGGUUUAAAGGGAGCGUAGGUGGGUUGGUAAGUCAGUUGUGAAAGUUUGCGGCUAAACCGGAAAAUUGCAAUUGAUACUGGCAGUCUUGAGUACAGUUGAGGUAGGCGGAAUUCGUGGUGUAGCGGUGAAAUGCUUAGAUAUCACGAAGAACUCCGAUUGCGAAGGCAGCUUACUAAACUGCCACUGACAUUGAUGCUCGAAAGUGUGGGUAUCAAACAGGAUUAGAUACCCGAGUAGUC
rnacentral:rRNA from 1 species